rnacentral:rRNA from 1 species
CGCAUCUGUGCAUGCAGCAUAUCAAUAAGCGGAGGAAAAGAAACUAACAAGGAUUCCCCUAGUAACGGCGAGUGAAGCGGGAAGAGCUCAAAUUUGAAAUCUUAAAGGGUUUCCCUUUACGAAUUGUAGUUUAAAGAAGUGUUUUCUGUUGAGGUUUUGGUAAAAGUUCUUUGGAAUAGGACAUCAUAGAGGGUGAGAAUCCCGUAUUUGACCUUUACUUUCAACUUUGUGAUACACUUUCAAAGAGUCGGAUUGUUUGGGAAUGCAGUCCAAAAUGGGUGGUAAAUUUCAUCUAAAGCUAAAUAUUGGCGAGAGACCGAUAGCGAACAAGUACCGUGAGGGAAAGAUGAAAAGAACUUUGAAAAGAGAGUUAAACAGUACGUGAAAUUGUCAAAAGGGAAGCGUUUGACACCAGUGUUGUUUUUCUGAAAAUCAAUUAAAGAACUGUUUAUGCUAAGUUGUUUAGACUUUAUCAGCUAACUGUUUAGUUUUGAGCUUUUCUUUAAUGCACUUUUCAGUUAACAAGUCAACAUCAGUUUCUUUUGCUGUAAAAAAGCUUGAGGAAGGUGGCUUGAGAUUCGUCUUAAGUGUUUAUAGCCUCUUGCCUAUGCAGUCGGAGAGAUUGAGGUCUGCAGCGUAGAUCCUUCGGGGCUAAAUGCAUUUGUGCUAAGUUAUAGCAUUUUAUAGACAACUUGUUGACUAUGAUUUGUCUUGUAGCUUACUCGCUUAUGUUAUUUUACCUACGCUUAGGAUGUUGAACGCGCACAGAGUCUC